GCUGGGCACAGCAGCGCAUGCCUAUAAUCCCAGAUGCUUGGGAGGCUGAGGCAGGAGUUCAAGCCAGCCUCAGCAAAAGUGAGGCGUUAAUAAGCAACUUGGUGAGACCCUGUCUCUA
rnacentral:sRNA from 1 species